AUGUGCCCACACUCAUUUCCCGGCUUGCUGGAGAUGAUGACUCUCAUGUUGAAGCACUGUAAAACUGAAGCAAUGACGUGUGCCUGUCCUUAUAGCUGCAACCUGAGGGAUGUGCACAAACAGCCAUGCUGCUGGGAGAAUGGAGAAUCUCUCUAAGGCCUCUCUCUGCAAGUGCCUUCAGAAAGUGCAACAUUGCUGCUUUCCUUGGCAAGCUGUCAAUGUCUGGUAGGAGGAAUUCCUGGGAGAAAAAGCACUGAUGAAGAAUUUUAUACCAGAGAAGGUGAUGAUCCCACCAAGAUUUUUGGUGCUCAUUUGAAGGUACAGAUUAUCCAUAUGAAAACCUUUUCUCCCCAUAAUUUAAUACCCUUCAUGCCUAAAAUACUGAAGAAGUAAAAGCUUGAAAAGCACCAGCAACAAGUGGGGAAUGUACUGGGCGUUAUGGAUGUCCCCUACAGACAUUAAGGACAUUUGGCUAGGUCUGUAUCAUACUGCGCUGCCCCAGGGUGACAAAUGACUGCCUCAGAAAUGGAAGAAGACCUGGACAAUUCGCAAGAUAAAGCCUGUAUUGAAAUGAGCAUGCUAAAACACACUGUCUGUUUUGCCAUGAGCUGUCCUUUAUCACACACACUCCCAUAUAUCUUGCUUUGCACCCACGGUAUAAAGAAUGUUUUAAAAUUAUUCAAAUUUAAGAAGUGCUCCUACUUUGAACAUUAGCCCAUCAAUGCAGCAUUUCGGAUCCAUUGCUCUCUGCCUGCACUAUAGCACUGAUGCACAGGUCAGUCUUGGGAGUGAAAUUCCAGUCCUGACUUUUACAAAUUCCGCAACACAUACACAGAAAUGAUGUGCACAGAAAUGAUUUGCAUGAAGAGCUCUCAUUGUCUGCAAGGUCAUAUAGUUUAUGAGCGCUGUUAAAAGUCUCCUCCUGGUAAGAUCUCAACAUUUAUGUAGAAAGAUUGUUUUCCUCUCAUUAUGGUAUCUUGGGAAUUUUUCACCUUUUCUUGGGUUCCUGUUUGGCUUCAACAAUUUUUAAGAAAGUUUCCAGCAUGUUGGUAAGCACACUGGAAGUGUGCAGUGAUAGAACAUCUUGCCAAAGUGCUCUCUGUUUUCCAAGAAGGUACUAGGAGCACUGACUGAGCCUUGGUCCUCUCUUGUCUUCAGUCACUACCAGAGAAUAUUUUUUCCUUUGACUUGGCACAGGGAGUAGGAGCAGAAAUUACCAUCUCAAUUUUAUUUAUUCCAACAACAUCUUGUAGACAUUUGCUUUUGUGACACCCUUCCAGAUGGGACUGAGCAUGCAGCUAUUUGAGUCCCAGAGCUCUACAGAUGUCCAGAUGGAAGACUAGAGUGCACAGCAAUCAGUGAGUAAUUGGUGAUCAAAAACUAGAUGACAGACAGUGCAAAAUGAAAACAGAUGAAAUGAAUUUCCGAAUGGAUCCUGCCAAGUUUCAUUUUCUCCACAAGUUCUUGGAAAGCCCAGAACCUAUUCCCA